CUCCUGCCCUAUCAUGUCAGCUGGGCCAGUUGGCCUUUUCUUUCCUUUGCAGUUGAAUGGAAACUUUUGAUUCUUCAUAGGUCCUGGCCCUUUGGACUUAGACUGGAACUGAAUCACCAGCUCUCCUAGGUAUCCAGCUUGCUGACUACAAAUGUUGGGACAUCUUUGCCUCCAUAAUUGUGAAUUGAACUCAGGACCUUGUGCUUGCCAGGCAGGUGUGGUGCCACUGAACUAAAUCCUGGCCCCAGCUUUUCUCAUUUAGCUGGCAUAUUUUGGAGGUUUGUUGAUGUUGUGGCAUUUAUCAGUGCUUAAUUCCUUUGCAUGGCUGAAUGAUAUUUAAUUGUAUGGGUAUACCACAUUUGUUCAUCCAUUUCUUAGUUGAUGGAAUUUGGAUUAUUCUACCUUUUGAUUGCUAUGAAUAAUCCUGCUGUGAACAUUUUGCUGUAACUUUUUGUAGGG
rnacentral:lncRNA from 1 species